GAGGAACGAGGGGAGCGUGCCUAAUACAUGCAAGUCGAGCGAACGGACGAGAAGCUUGCUUCUCUGAUGUUAGCGGCGGACGGGUGAGUAACACGUGGAUAACCUACCUAUAAGACUGGGAUAACUUCGGGAAACCGGAGCUAAUACCGGAUAAUAUUUUGAACCGCAUGGUUCAAAAGUGAAAGACGGUCUUGCUGUCACUUAUAGAUGGAUCCGCGCUGCAUUAGCUAGUUGGUAAGGUAACGGCUUACCAAGGCAACGAUGCAUAGCCGACCUGAGAGGGUGAUCGGCCACACUGGAACUGAGACACGGUCCAGACUCCUACGGGAGGCAGCAGUAGGGAAUCUUCCGCAAUGGGCGAAAGCCUGACGGAGCAACGCCGCGUGAGUGAUGAAGGUCUUCGGAUCGUAAAACUCUGUUAUUAGGGAAGAACAUAUGUGUAAGUAACUGUGCACAUCUUGACGGUACCUAAUCAGAAAGCCACGGCUAACUACGUG
rnacentral:rRNA from 1 species